GAGCUCCGCGGAAGUAGUUCUCCCAAGGGCCGUCUUAGCGUCUCAGAAGCAAAGCUAAGGGAUCGUCCGAGCCGCGUGGUGGCCCCGCUGCAGGCCUGUCACCCGCCCCCAGCCCACAGGACUAGGUCUCUGUUGACUAAUGCCCACCUGAUACGAAAUGACUGAAGCUUGGAAAUAAAAAUGAUUCCAGCAUUAUAAUCAGAAUUCUAAUGAGCUCCCACGGACGCGGAAUGCGAAAUGAGCUUGAGAUGGGGCCCCUCCUUUGGAUAUGACGGAACUGGUGAUUCAAGUUUUGUACGCAUUUGCUGUCGUGUGUUGUGUAUGACGCCGGCCUGGUGAGUGCUCUUUCUGUCGAGGGCCCGCCACGGGUCCUGCUGCGUCCAGGUCCCUCCUGCGUGAUGGCUGUCAUCGCCAUCUCCAUCCUCAUCAUCCUUAAGGUCGACUUGGAAGAUUUGGACUCAGUUGAGCAGAGACUAAAAACGUUAGAAGAUCAGCCAUCACCUGGCAGGUACCCGGUGAUGCCGAUGCUGCUGGCUCCUGGGUGCUACUUUGAGGAGCCAUCUUCGAAGACCGGUGGAAGUGCUUUGUACUGUUUGUACCUUUUGGAAAUGGUAAGUUAUUGUACCGUUGUAAGCCAUUUUGUGUGGGAAACGCAGACGUGGAAAUGUCCUCAGCUGCUCAGCUGCAGAAUCCUUGCUAAGUGCCUUGGAGGCACCUGGCAGAGCACUCCACUCAGAGGCGGGGGCCUGGAUGGUAACUCACUAACUCUUCCGGGGGGCGAUGGGGAGCGAGAGGAGAGGCGUCGGCCUCAGCCAGACCUGAGUUCGAAUGUGGCCUCUGCUAUUUCACAGUUGUGUGAUCAUCAACAAGUCAACUCACCCGUCUUGGUCUCAGUUUCCCCAUCCGUCAAAUGGACAAGAUGUCACCAUCAUAGGAUGGGCGGAGAGGCCUAAGCAACACAAUGGAUGCAAAGUGCCUGGCCCAUCGUGUCAAGGAAUGACCUGAACAGCUGAGGAAGAUGCUCCAUGGAUGCCAACACUUGCUCGUCUCCCCUGCCUUGGACCCCAACUUUCCAAACCGCACUUCUCUUCCCUUUGCAUGUCUAGAAGAUGGCCUGGGCCAUAGUUAGGAGUUCAGCAUUGGGAGGUUAUAUUCUCUGAGCAGCAAGACCAACACCUGAGGCCCCUCUAGUCCUGAUUGUAUCCUGUGUUGUCAGGGAGAACAGUGUCUGGCGUCCUGUCGAUCUUUCUAGAAGGGAAGAGUAAAAGCAUUGAGAUGGCAAGCGUGUGGACCAGGCAGGCAGGAUGCUAGCCUCCCUCUGCGCCAGCCCGCUAGGCAGUGGCUACGUCUUCCCAGGGCUAAGGAGAUUCCCGCUUCCCAGAGUGCCACUGUGCCCUGCAGCAAGGCGAGACGGGGGGAGCUGUCCGGGGCCCGGCUUCCUCCCCCAGCACAGACGCCUCAGUGACCGCUCCGGGCUGGCCGCGAUGUGUGUACCUUUGCUGUCUGCACCCAGCCUCGGACUCGCCCCCAGGAACCCAGGCAGAGGAUAAACCUCACCCCUGCCUCUGGGAGCCCGGUCGGGGUGCAUUAGGCCAGUGCACAGAGCAGCUGGGGUGCGGAGAAAAGGAUAGUGGACUUGGAGACUGACUCCAAGUGCCUGAACACUCUCUGGCCUCAGCUUUCUCAUCCACAAAAUGGGACCAUAAACCUUGAUUCAGAGAGGCAGGGCAGUAGAGGGCAGCAGCCCAGCCUGUCUGGAUUUUGAUCUUGGCUCCCCCGCUUGUAAGCUGUGCUUUUCCCAGAAAAUUACUUUAUCUCUCUGAUCCUCAGGUUGCUUUACUGUAAAAAGGGUGGUAAUGAUGGUACCUGGACCUCAUAGAGUUAUUGUGGAGACGAAAACAAAAUAAAGUGAGUAAAGUGCUUAGCCUGUCCCGUGGC
rnacentral:lncRNA from 1 species